GUUGGGGUGGCAGAGCACGGUAAUUGCAAAAGAUCUAAGCCCUUUAUACCAGAGGUUCAAAUCCUCUCCCCAACU
rnacentral:tRNA from 1 species